CCCCUUCCCCGUCUUUGCGUACGAUCUCGGUGCAUCCCUGAGAUGUCCACCUGGAAGCGCCUCUCUACGCCUUGGUUACCCGGUCGCCCUCUCCUCCGUUAAAGCCGCACAGUAGCAAGAGGUCGACCAGGGCGGGGAGGGGCCUGCAGGCCGUGCCGCCUCACUUUCGCAUAAAGUGCCAAGGCUGGAACCUGGAGAAAAGAGGUCCACGAGGGAGAACCGGGAGCGGGGCGCAAGACGCAAAGAGCCGAAUUUAGGCUCCAAGUCAGGGGCCGUUCCUGAUAAUCAGCGCGGCCCCGAGGUGGUGGAACGGGGCGCCGCGGGGCUGCUGGGAGGGAGGGUCCCGAGGCGGCCCAGUUCUCAGGAUCCUCGUUUGGGAGUUCCGUCCUGCAAGUCGGCCUGGCCUGCGGGGCCUCCCGACCACUCGUUUCCCAAGCUCUCAUCUAAGUUCCCCACAUCCCCCAGGUUGGAAGGGACGGCUAAGGCGGGCUGGAAGCCGGGGUUUACGAGGAGGAGAAGAAAGGUGUGUGGGUCUGGCGUGGCCCAAGUCUGGAAUCACUCAAAUCUUCCAAAUUCAUCAGGCUCCUAAGAUCCCAGGAAGACCCUUCUCUGCCCACACAAGCUCCCCUCAAGGGUGGGGGUUGCCCUUCCAAAACGAAGAAAAUAUCACACAGCAAGAACAUGGGAGCAUCCCAUGUCCUGGCUUCAGGGGAGCGAGGAGGAGGAGGGCAGACCAGGGCAAGGGAAGUGACCUGGUUCAACCCCACUUACGCUGUUGAGUGAAAAUGAAGUAAUAACCUGAGAGAAAGGCCCUGAAAUAUAGAGCCCAGCCUGACGUUUGGGAAGAAGACCUAACCAAUGGAGUACUCAAUCUUCUAAUAAAACCUGAAGAGGAAGAUAACUCAUUGAGGCUCAUACUGCUGAGCCAACCUCAAUCCCUUUAACUUCGCAAAUAUGAAAAACUAUUGGAAAUGAAUGCUUGUUUAAAGCCAAACAUCUCCCAAAAUGGGAAUUUCCACUGAUUUUAGAGGCUCCUCAAUAUUUCAUGCCUCCAAGAGCAGCCAUUUAUUUUUCUGCUGAAUAGCUGAAAUCACCCAUUCUUCCUGUCUCCUUGUCUGGGCUAUAGUAAUUUCACACUGGACAGCUGUAACCUCCUUUAUAUGCUAGCCUUCCAAUUUCUAACCUCUCUGUUCCAAAAUAUUUUACUUCUGUGUCUGGCACAUAGUAGGUACUUAAUGCUUGUUGGUUGAUUGACUACUGCCUGCAAAGACCAAUGCCAGGGUGAUCCAUCCCACUCAUCUGGGAUGCCCUACACUUAUCUACUCUUAUCUCUUGCUAUUCCCCAGCUCAUGCCCUACAGUACAUAUGAACCCAGCCUUCUCAUGGCCUUCUACUUCUUAUGUCUUUGAGAAUCUGUUCAAGUCCAAUCUACCUGGAACGCACUCACUCAUCUUCUCUAACACACCCCUCUUUGAUCACAUGGAAAAUUUCCUGUCAUCUAUCCCGUAUUAAUAAUAAAAU